rnacentral:rRNA from 1 species
GACGAACGCUGGCGGCGUGCUUAACCCAUGCAAGUCGAGCGGAGCGGCGAACGGGUGAGUAACGCGUGAGUAACUGCCCCCCUCUCUGGGAUAACAGUUGGAAAAGGCUGCUAAUACCGGAUAGUGGGGGAUGAAUCGCGUCCUAUCAGCUUGUUGGUGGGGUAGUGGCGUACCAAGGCGACGACGGGUAGCCGGCCUGAGAGGGCGACCGGCCACAGUGGGCUUGGAUACGGCCCGAGCUACUACGGGAGGCGGCAGUGGGGAAUAGUGCGCCAUGGGGGAAACCCGGAUGCAGCACCGCCGCGUGCUGGAUGACGGACUUCGGGUUGUAAACCGCUUUCAGCCAUGACGCGGUAGUGGCAGAAGAAGCACCGGCUAACUACGUGCCAGCAGCCGCGGUAAUAC